rnacentral:rRNA from 1 species
GAUGAACGCUGGCGGCGUGCCUAAUACAUGCAAGUCGAGCGAACGGACGAGAAGCUUGUUUUUUUGAUGUUAGCGGCGGACGGGCGAGUAACACGUGGAUAACCUACCUAUAAGACUGGGAUAACUUCGGGAAACCGGAGCUAACACCGGAUAAUAUUUUGAACCGCAUGGUUCAAAAGUGAAAGACGGUCUUGCUGUCACUUAUAGAUGGAUCCGCGCUGCAUUAGCUAGUUGGUAAGGUAACGGCUUACCAAGGCAACGAUGCAUAGCCGACCUGAGAGGGUGGUAGGCCACACUGGAACUGAACCACGGUCCGGACUCCUACGGGAGGCAGCGGUAGGGAAUCUUCCGCAGUGGGCGAGAGCCUGACGGAGCAACGCCGCGUGGGUGAUGAAGGUCUUCGGAUCGUAAAUCUCUGUUAUUAGGGAAGAACAUAUGUGUAAGUAACUGUGCACAUCUUGACGGUACCUAAUCAGAAAGCCACGGCUAACUACGUG